rnacentral:rRNA from 1 species
GUGGGGAAUUUUGGACAAUGGGCGCAAGCCUGAUCCAGCAAUGCCGCGUGCAGGAAGAAGGCCUUCGGGUUGUAAACUGCUUUUGUACGGAACGAAACGGUCCUGGCUAAUAUCCGGGGCUAAUGACGGUACCGUAAGAAUAAGCACCGGCUAACUACGUGCCAGCAGCCGCGGUAAUACGUAGGGUGCGAGCGUUAAUCGGAAUUACUGGGCGUAAAGCGUGCGCAGGCGGUGCUGUAAGACAGGCGUGAAAUCCCCGGGCUCAACCUGGGAAUUGCGCUUGUGACUGCAGUGCUGGAGGGCGGCAGAGGGGGAUGGAAUUCCGCGUGUAGCAGUGAAAUGCGUAGAUAUGCGGAGGAACACCGAUGGCGAAGGCAAUCCCCUGGGCCUGCACUGACGCUCAUGCACGAAAGCGUGGGGAGCAAACAGGAUUAGAAACCCCGGUAGUCC